rnacentral:rRNA from 1 species
AUUGAACGCUGGCGGCAGGCUUAACACAUGCAAGUCGAACGAUGACUCUCUAGCUUGCUAGAGAAGAUUAGUGGCGGACGGGUGAGUAACAUUUAGGAAUCUGCCUAGUAGUGGGGGAUAGCUCGGGGAAACUCGAAUUAAUACCGCAUACGACCUACGGGUGAAAGGGGGCGCAAGCUCUUGCUAUUAGAUGAGCCUAAAUCAGAUUAGCUAGUUGGUGGGGUAAAGGCCCACCAAGGCGACGAUCUGUAACUGGUCUGAGAGGAUGAUCAGUCACACCGGAACUGAGACACGGUCCGGACUCCUACGGGAGGCAGCAGUGGGGAAUAUUGGACAAUGGGGGCAACCCUGAUCCAGCCAUGCCGCGUGUGUGAAGAAGGCCUUUUGGUUGUAAAGCACUUUAAGCAGGGAGGAGAGACUAAUGGUUAAUACCCAUUAGAUUAGACGUUACCUGCAGAAUAAGCACCGGCUAACUCUGUGCCAGCAGCCGCGGUAAUACAGAGGGUGCGAGCGUUAAUCGGAAUUACUGGGCGUAAAGCGAGUGUAGGUGGCUCAUUAAGUCACAUGUGAAAUCCCCGGGCUUAACCUGGGAACUGCAUGUGAUACUGGUGGUGCUAGAAUAUGUGAGAGGGAAGUAGAAUUCCAGGUGUAGCGGUGAAAUGCGUAGAGAUCUGGAGGAAUACCGAUGGCGAAGGCAGCUUCCUGGCAUAAUAUUGACACUGAGAUUCGAAAGCGUGGGUAGCAAACAGGAUUAGAUACCCUGGUAGUCCACGCCGUAAACGAUGUCUACUAGCCGUUGGGGUCCUUGAGACUUUAGUGGCGCAGUUAACGCGAUAAGUAGACCGCCUGGGGAGUACGGCCGCAAGGUUAAAACUCAAAUGAAUUGACGGGGGCCCGCACAAGCGGUGGAGCAUGUGGUUUAAUUCGAUGCAACGCGAAGAACCUUACCUGGUCUUGACAUAGUGAGAAUCCUGUAGAGAUGCGGGAGUGCCUUCGGGAAUUCACAUACAGGUGCUGCAUGGCUGUCGUCAGCUCGUGUCGUGAGAUGUUGGGUUAAGUCCCGCAACGAGCGCAACCCUUUUCCUUAUUUGCCAGCGGGUUAAGCCGGGAACUUUAAGGAUACUGCCAGUGACAAACUGGAGGAAGGCGGGGACGACGUCAAGUCAUCAUGGCCCUUACGACCAGGGCUACACACGUGCUACAAUGGUAGGUACAGAGGGUUGCUACACAGCGAUGUGAUGCUAAUCUCAAAAAGCCUAUCGUAGUCCGGAUUGGAGUCUGCAACUCGACUCCAUGAAGUCGGAAUCGCUAGUAAUCGCAGAUCAGAAUGCUGCGGUGAAUACGUUCCCGGGCCU